UACAGGGUGACAGCCCCGUACACAAAAAUGCACAUGCUGUGAGCUCGAUGAGUAGGGCGGGACACGUGGUAUCCUGUCUGAAUAUGGGGGGACCAUCCUCCAAGGCUAAAUACUCCUGACUGACCGAUAGUGAACCAGUACCGUGAGGGAAAGGCGAAAAGAACCCCGGCGAGGGGAGUGAAAAAGAACCUGAAACCGUGUACGUACAAGCAGUGGGAGCACGCUUAGGCGUGUGACUGCGUACCUUUUGUAUAAUGGGUCAGCGACUUAUAUUCUGUAGCAAGGUUAACCGAAUAGGGGAGCCGAAGGGAAACCGAGUCUUAACUGGGCGUUAAGUUGCAGGGUAUAGACCCGAAACCCGGUGAUCUAGCCAUGGGCAGGUUGAAGGUUGGGUAACACUAACUGGAGGACCGAACCGACUAAUGUUGAAAAAUUAGCGGAUGACUUGUGGCUGGGGGUGAAAGGCCAAUCAAACCGGGAGAUAGCUGGUUCUCCCCGAAAGCUAUUUAGGUAGCGCCUCGUGAAUUCAUCUCCGGGGGUAGAGCACUGUUUCGGCAAGGGGGUCAUCCCGACUUACCAACCCGAUGCAAACUGCGAAUACCGGAGAAUGUUAUCACGGGAGACACACGGCGGGUGCUAACGUCCGUCGUGAAGAGGGAAACAACCCAGACCGCCAGCUAAGGUCCCAAAGUCAUGGUUAAGUGGGAAACGAUGUGGGAAGGCCCAGACAGCCAGGAUGUUGGCUUAGAAGCAGCCAUCAUUUAAAGAAAGCGUAAUAGCUCACUGGUCGAGUCGGCCUGCGCGGAAGAUGUAACGGGGCUAAACCAUGCACCGAAGCUGCGGCAGCGACGCUGAUGCGUUGUUGGGUAGGGGAGCGUUCUGUAAGCCUGUGAAGGUGUGCUGUGAGGCAUGCUGGAGGUAUCAGAAGUGCGAAUGCUGACAUAAGUAACGAUAAAGCGGGUGAAAAGCCCGCUCGCCGGAAGACCAAGGGUUCCUGUCCAACGUUAAUCGGGGCAGGGUGAGUCGACCCCUAAGGCGAGGCCGAAAGGCGUAGUCGAUGGGAAACAGGUUAAUAUUCCUGUACUUGGUGUUACUGCGAAGGGGGGACGGAGAAGGCUAUGUUGGCCGGGCGACGGUUGUCCCGGUUUAAGCGUGUAGGCUGGUUUUCCAGGCAAAUCCGGAAAACUAAGGCUGAGGCGUGAUGACGAGGCACUACGGUGCUGAAGCAACAAAUGCCCUGCUUCCAGGAAAAGCCUCUAAGCAUCAGGUAACAUCAAAUCGUACCCCAAACCGACACAGGUGGUCAGGUAGAGAAUACCAAGGCGCUUGAGAGAACUCGGGUGAAGGAACUAGGCAAAAUGGUGCCGUAACUUCGGGAGAAGGCACGCUGAUAUGUAGGUGAAGUCCCUCGCGGAUGGAGCUGAAAUCAGUCGAAGAUACCAGCUGGCUGCAACUGUUUAUUAAAAACACAGCACUGUGCAAACACGAAAGUGGACGUAUACGGUGUGACGCCUGCCCGGUGCCGGAAGGUUAAUUGAUGGGGUCAGCGCAAGCGAAGCUCUUGAUCGAAGCCCCGGUAAACGGCGGCCGUAACUAUAACGGUCCUAAGGUAGCGAAAUUCCUUGUCGGGUAAGUUCCGACCUGCACGAAUGGCGUAAUGAUGGCCAGGCUGUCUCCACCCGAGACUCAGUGAAAUUGAACUCGCUGUGAAGAUGCAGUGUACCCGCGGCAAGACGGAAAGACCCCGUGAACCUUUACUAUAGCUUGACACUGAACAUUGAGCCUUGAUG
rnacentral:rRNA from 1 species